CCAAUUUUGUAAAAAAAAAGUUUGUAUUUCGUGUUGUUUGUAUAUAUGUUUCAAACAAAUAAAAACAUUGAAUUCACUUCUUAACAAGUGGUUCAUCACCAAAAACUUUGUCGACUUUUUUCUUCGCUGGUUACAGGGAGCCACACAUCCAAUCUUCUUCGCAGGUAAAUCAAAAAGGACCGAUUUUUCUUACAAUUUUUGCCAGGAAAUUCUGGCUGCCAUUUUCCUCGCUUAAUUUUUCCAUUUUCUUUUUACAUUAUUCCCUAAUAUUGACAUUUAAGUAAUUGGAAUAAUCAGCUGUUUUUUAGUAAUUGUUCUUCUUCUUCUUCUAGCUAUCAAUUAUUUUCAGGGUUACCCCUUUUAAAGGCGCACACCACAAAGCCGACUAUCCUGCUGAUAUCCUUAUCGAAGGAUAGGGGGAAAAAAAGUGCGACCUUUGGUUUAAAAAUGCAAAAAAAAAUCAAUGGUUUGAUAUGGUAUUUACAAAAAAUCGGUGUUUGGCAUCCCUAAUAAUCGCAGUCUGGCAUCCCUAACUCUGAUUUUCCAAACUAAAAUUUAAUUUUGGUCUGAUUUAUUUAUUACAAUAUUAAGCUCCAUUAGCCCGUAGGAACAUGGUAUAAUGUUUACGUCGUACGCCACGCGUUAUCGUUUAGUCUGAUGUAAGUUGACUACCGAUAGUAGUGACUAUCGAUAGUAGUGACGUUUAUGAAUGAAAACAAUCGGAGUACGCGUCUAUUGUAAUUUUUUUUGGCGGAUUGGAGCACGGACGGACGGAAAAUUUUGGAGCUGCAGAAAUGAUAAAAUUUGGAUUGGCGACUGCCUACGUUUGGAUUAAACGAAAGGUAAGAUUGAGACCAGAUAUUUUCUUUUUCUGUAGGGGUACCCUCAACUAGGUCCACACUUUGGUCAGAUUGUUGGAUACGAUAUUAUUUCAAAUGCAUUUAGAUGUGUUUGAUCGUGUCUUCCCGCUUCCAGACUCUAACGUCGUAAAUCGAUGACUGACAGCUCUGCGACCUUGUGUACAACACUCUUCUGCCUUGUGCCAUAGUUGCGUAUGGGAAUAUAAAGGAAGAGUGCACAAAUGGUCAAGGACAGUCACAACGUGACUGCUCAGGAAUCGUAGACAUAUUGUUAGAGUCGGUAAAUCUGGGAUGCUUCCGUUCGUAAUCCAACGGAUUCUUUCUGACCACUGCUGCUGGUGUCUAGGCGAGUGGCCUCCUAUGGUUACAUGAAAAAAUUUUCCAUGGUCUCAAUAAUCAAAAGACAUCUAGAGAAGUUACUCAAAUUGGAUAUUGCAUUCACAAAAAGACAUUUAUUACCUACAGGCGACUUAAUCUGCCUCUCCUGUGAAACCAGGAAAUUAUAUUUGAUGGUAAGUUCGAGUAAUCCUGUUCUCCUUUUUUCUCCAACAGGUGUACCAUCGACUAGACCUUCAGCUUUUGUCAGAAUGUCGGAUACGAUGGUUUGCAAAUGCACUUAGGUGUAUUUGUUCUUUUUGUCUUCUGGCUUCCAGACUCUAGUGUCGUAAGUCGGGUGAAGGACGGAUCUGCGACCUCGUGUACAACAGUUCCCUGGCCCGUGCCAAAGAGCGAACGGCUACUGCUUCACCGCGAAAGGGGAAUUGCACUAAUGGUCAAAGACAGUCACCAGGUGACUGCUCCGGAUGCGCAGACAUCAACUAGAGUCGGUAAACCCAGAGUGCUUUCAUUCGUACUCUGACUUCACAAUUCUGACAUCUGCUGUUAGAGUCUAGAAGAUUGGACUCCUGUUCGGAUGGAAAAAAACAGGGUUCCGAACUUUACCAAAUAUUCUAGCCGAGACUUGUGGUGGGACUACAGUCGGCGCUUCAGAAAUGAACGUAAGUUGUAGUUUUAAUUCUAUUUCGUAGUUUUUGUAAUUUUGCUCUGGAAAAUGAGAAAAAUUAUGAGAACUCAAUUUUUUAUAAACAUAAAUUUCAUAAUUUAUAACCAAAAUUUAGCUAAAAAAAAAAUUUGUAAGUAUGGCUUGAGAUGGACAUUUCAAAUUUAAUUUUAUUUUUAAGUUGUUCAUUUUUAUUCGUAUUUUUCUAUUUCGCCAAUAAUCCUACAUAAUGAUAUUUCACUAAUUCAUAUUUUUUUUCUUUUCCUUUAUGGCUCAAAAACUGGAGAAAUUGGGUUCAACCCUUACCCAUUCACACAACUACACACCACUCAGGAAGGAAAAGCUGUCCUACAGCUUGUUAAAAAUUCGGGAAUACUAAAAGGACAUUUCGUAAGUAGAAAUUCAGGUACUACUUCAACUAAAUUCAAUUGGAUCUUCCGGAACUCUUUGAAAAUUCAGGUUAUUCUGUACGGCAUACAAAUUCUAUUAUCCGGCAGAAUAAUUUGAUGUUUAAAAAAGAACUGGAAAAAAUCAAAUAAUGUUAGGUGGUGGAUUUCUGGUCAAAAUAGUGGGAUUUGGUGAGUUACACUGGCAAAACUGUGGGAUUUAAAUGAAGUAAAAAUGAACGGAGAAAAAUGGAAUAUGGAAUAGGCGGCUUACUCAGACAUCCCUAAAGAGGUUCCAUGACAAUACGACCAAUGGUCGGAAGCCAAAAUUGUCGCAGGACCGAAUGGAAACUCUAGGGCUUAACGGCGGGCACCCAGAGUGUAGAACCUUGACGGCAGCUUGUGACUAAGGCUUUUUCCCAAAACCUGAGGACGAACAAAGGAAUGUAGGUCGAUACCACAUUAAAUCGACAAUCUAACCAAUGCCGGGUAACCUAACCUUGAAUUGAGCUCAGUUCAAUGUCGCGUACCUGCAUACCAACACAAAAAAAACCGCGGAAUUUAAUUAUGUUGCUUAGUCGUCUGUCUGUCUGUCCGGAGUUUCAUGUAUUAAAUGUCGAUUGGGAAUGAUACCAAGCCACGCUGGAACAGCAAUGGCGUAAACUCUGCGCCUCCCUCGGUGGAUUGGAUGGGCGAUGGUGUGGCUUGUAGGCUCCAAUUCUUCAGGAAUUUCUAGGUUUAAGAUUUAUUUUCUUGGUUUAGAUUUUUAGUUAAUUGUUGUGGUUUUUCUUUUCAAUUUUGUUAAAUUGUUUCGAAAUUUUGUUUUAAAUUUAAGUAAGUUCAAUUUGUCUUUUAAUUUUCAAUUUUU